CGGAAGGGGAGUGAAAUAGAACCUGAAACCGUGUGCUUACAAGUAGUCAGAGCCCGUUAAUGGGUGAUGGCGUGCCUUUUGUAGAAUGAACCGGCGAGUUACGAUUUGAUGCAAGGUUAAGCAGUAAAUGUGGAGCCGUAGCGAAAGCGAGUCUGAAUAGGGCGUUUAGUAUUUGGUCGUAGACCCGAAACCAGGUGAUCUACCCUUGGUCAGGUUGAAGUUCAGGUAACACUGAAUGGAGGACCGAACCGACUUACGUUGAAAAGUGAGCGGAUGAACUGAGGGUAGCGGAGAAAUUCCAAUCGAACCUGGAGAUAGCUGGUUCUCUCCGAAAUAGCUUUAGGGCUAGCCUCAAGUGAUGAUUAUUGGAGGUAGAGCACUGUUUGGACGAGGGGCCCCUCUCGGGUUACCGAAUUCAGACAAACUCCGAAUGCCAAUUAAUUUAACUUGGGAGUCAGAACAUGGGUGAUAAGGUCCGUGUUCGAAAGGGAAACAGCCCAGACCACCAGCUAAGGUCCCAAAAUAUAUGUUAAGUGGAAAAGGAUGUGGCGUUGCCCAGACAACUAGGAUGUUGGCUUAGAAGCAGCCAUCAUUUAAAGAGUGCGUAAUAGCUCACUAGUCGAGUGACACUGCGCCGAAAAUGUACCGGGGCUAAACAUAUUACCGAAGCUGUGGAUUGUCCUUUGGACAAUGGUAGGAGAGCGUUCUAAGGGCGUUGAAGCAUGAUCGUAAGGACAUGUGGAGCGCUUAGAAGUGAGAAUGCCGGUGUGAGUAGCGAAAGACGGGUGAGAAUCCCGUCCACCGAUUGACUAAGGUUUCCAGAGGAAGGCUCGUCCGCUCUGGGUUAGUCGGGUCCUAAGCUGAGGCCGACAGGCGUAGGCGAUGGAUAACAGGUUGAUAUUCCUGUACCACCUAUAAUCGUUUUAAUCGAUGGGGGGACGCAGUAGGAUAGGCGAAGCGUGCGAUUGGAUUGCACGUCUAAGCAGUAAGGCUGAGUAUUAGGCAAAUCCGGUACUCGUUAAGGCUGAGCUGUGAUGGGGAGAAGACAUUGUGUCUUCGAGUCGUUGAUUUCACACUGCCGAGAAAAGCCUCUAGAUAGAAAAUAGGUGCCCGUACCGCAAACCGACACAGGUAGUCAAGAUGAGAAUUCUAAGGUGAGCGAGCGAACUCUCGUUAAGGAACUCGGCAAAAUGACCCCGUAACUUCGGGAGAAGGGGUGCUCUUUAGGGUUAACGCCCAGAAGAGCCGCAGUGAAUAGGCCCAAGCGACUGUUUAUCAAAAACACAGGUCUCUGCUAAACCGUAAGGUGAUGUAUAGGGGCUGACGCCUGCCCGGUGCUGGAAGGUUAAGAGGAGUGGUUAGCUUCUGCGAAGCUACGAAUCGAAGCCCCAGUAAACGGCGGCCGUAACUAUAACGGUCCUAAGGUAGCGAAAUUCCUUGUCGGGUAAGUUCCGACCCGCACGAAAGGCGUAACGAUUUGGGCACUGUCUCAACGAGAGACUCGGUGAAAUCAUAGUACCUGUGAAGAUGCAGGUUACCCGCGACAGGACGGAAAGACCCCGUGGAGCUUUACUGUAGCCUGAUAUUGAAAUUCGGCACAGCUUGUACAGGAUAGGUAGGAGCCUUUGAAACGUGAGCGCUAGCUUACGUGGAGGCGCUGGUGGGAUACUACCCUAGCUGUGUUGGCUUUCUAACCCGCACCACUUAUCGUGGUGGGAGACAGUGUCAGGCGGGCAGUUUGACUGGGGCGGUCGCCUCCUAAAAGGUAACGGAGGCGCUCAAAGGUUCCCUCAGAAUGGUUGGAAAUCAUUCAUAGAGUGUAAAGGCAUAAGGGAGCUUGACUGCGAGACCUACAAGUCGAGCAGGGUCGAAAGACGGACUUAGUGAUCCGGUGGUUCCGCAUGGAAGGGCCAUCGCUCAACGGAUAAAAGCUACCCCGGGGAUAACAGGCUUAUCUCCCCCAAGAGUUCACAUCGACGGGGAGGUUUGGCACCUCGAUGUCGGCUCAUCGCAUCCUGGGGCUGUAGUCGGUCCCAAGGGUUGGGCUGUUCGCCCAUUAAAGCGGNNNNNNNNNNNNNNNNNNNNNNNNNNNNNNNNNNNNNNNNGACCGGGAUGGACAUACCUCUGGUGUACCAGUUGUCGUGCCAACGGCAUAGCUGGGUAGCUAUGUGUGGACGGGAUAAGUGCUGAAAGCAUCUAAGCAUGAAGCCCCCCUCAAGAUGAGAUUUCCCAACUUCGGUUAUAAGAUCCCUCAAAGAUGAUGAGGUUAAUAGGUUCGAGGUGGAAGCAUGGUGACAUGUGGAGCUGACGAAUACUAAUCGAUCGAAGAC
rnacentral:rRNA from 1 species